rnacentral:rRNA from 1 species
UGGUCAAGUUAUUAAGGGUGCAGGGCGGAUGCCUUGGCACUAGGAGCCGAUGAAGGACGUGAUAAGCUGCGAUAAGCUUCGGGGAGUUGCACGUAAACUUUGAUCCGAAGAUUUCCGAAUGAGGAAACUCACUUAGAGUAAUGUCUAAGUAUCAUUAAGUGAAUACAUAGUUUAAUGAGGGGAACUCAGGGAACUGAAACAUCUAAGUACCUGAAGGAAGAGAAAGAAAUUCGAUUCCGUAAGUAGCGGCGAGCGAACGCGGAUUAGCCCAAACCAAUAAAGUUUUCUUUAUUGGGGUUGCGGACAUAUCAUAACGAAGAGGUAUCGUAAUUGAAGAGGUUUGGAAAGACCCACCACAGAAGGUAAUAGUCCUGUAUGUUAAACGAGAAGACUUCAGAUAUGAUCCAGAGUACCACGGGACACGUGAAACCCUGUGGGAAGCAGGAGGGACCACCCUCCAAGGCUAAAUACUACCUAGUGACCGAUAGCGUAUAGUACCGUGAGGGAAAGGUGAAAAGAACCCCGGGAGGGGAGUGAAAUAGAACCUGAAACCCUGCACUUACAAGCUGUGGAAGCACAUUUCUUGUGUGACCGCGUACUUUUUGUAGAACGGGCCAACGAGUUACGUUAAGUAGCAAGGUUAAGCACUUAAGGUGUGGAGCCGUAGCGAAAGCGAGUUUUAACUGAGCGUUCAGUUACUUGACGUAGACCCGAAACCGGGCGACCUACCCAUGAGCAGGAUGAAGCGAAAGUAAAAUUUCGUGGAGGUCCGAACCCACGAGCGUUGAAAAGCUCGGGGAUGACUUGUGGGUAGCGGUGAAAUUCCAAUCGAGCCCGGAGAUAGCUGGUUCUCCCCGAAAUAGCUUUAGGGCUAGCCUCAAGGUGAGAGAUACGGAGGUAGAGCACUGAAUGUCCUAGGGGGUAUUGCACCUACCGAAGACUAUCAAACUCCGAAUGCCGUCAUCUUAUACUUGGGAGUCAGACUGUGGGUGAUAAGAUUCAUAGUCGAAAGGGCAACAGCCCAGAUCGUCAGCUAAGGUCCCUAAAUGUAAGUUAAGUGGUAAAGGAUGUGGGAUUGCACAGACAACCAGGAUGUUGGCUUAGAAGCAGCCACUCAUUCAAAGAGUGCGUAAUAGCUCACUGGUCGAGUGAUCCUGCGCCGAAGAUUUCCGGGGCUAAAACUUACUACCGAAGCUACGGCAUCAGUAAUGAUGGGUAGGGGAGCUUCCCAUACGGGUUGAAGCAUGACCGUAAGGACAUGUGGACAGUAUGGGAGUGAGAAUGUUGGCAUGAGUAGCGAGAUGUGGGUGAGAAUCCCACAGGCCGUAAACCCAAGGUUUCCAGGGGAAGGUUCGUCCGCCCUGGGUUAGUCGGGACCUAAGCUGAGGCCGAAAGGCGUAGGUGAUGGACAACAGGUUGAUAUUCCUGUACUACCGAUAACCGUUUGAGAGAAGGGAUGACACAGUAGGAUAAGCUAAGCACACUGUUGGUUAUGUGUGCCCAAGCAUUGAGGCAGUCAAAGUAGGCAAAUCCGCUUUGAUAAUGCUGGGAUGUGAUGGGGAGCGAAAUUUAGUAGCGAAGUAGCUGAUUUCACACUGUCAAGAAAAGUCUCUAUCGAGGUUAAAGGUACCCGUACCGCAAACCGACACAGGUGGGUGAGGAGAGUAUCCUAAGGCCAGCGAGAGAACUGUUGUUAAGGAACUCGGCAAAAUGACCCCGUAACUUAGGGAUAAGGGGUGCCACCAUCAGGUGGCCGCAGAGAAUAGGCCCAAGCGACUGUUUACCAAAAACAUAGGUUUCUGCUAAGUCGCAAGACGAUGUAUAGGAGCUGACGCCUGCCCGGUGCUGGAAGGUUAAGGGGAUCUGUUAGAGCAAUCGAAGCAGUGAACUUAAGCCCCAGUAAACGGCGGCCGUAACUAUAACGGUCCUAAGGUAGCGAAAUUCCUUGUCGGGUAAGUUCCGACCCGCACGAAAGGCGUAACGAUUUGGGCACUGUCUCAACAACAGACUCGGUGAAAUUGUAAUUCCGGUGAAGAUGCCGGAUACCUGCGACAGGACGGAAAGACCCCAUGGAGCUUUACUGUAGCUUGACAUUGGGUCUUGGUACUACAUGUACAGGAUAGGUGGGAGGCUUUGAAACCAGGACGCCAGUUUUGGCGGAGCCAUCCUUGGGAUACCACCCUUGUAGUACUGGGACUCUAACCAUAGGCCAUGAAUCUGGUCUUGGGACACUGUCAGGUGGGCAGUUUGACUGGGGCGGUCGCCUCCCAAAAGGUAACGGAGGCGCUCAAAGGUUCUCUCAGUACGGUCGGAAAUCGUACGUAGAGUGUAAAGGCAAAAGAGAGCUUGAUUGCAAGACAUACAGGUCGAGCAAGGAUGAAAAUCGGACUUAGUGAUCCGGUGGUUCUGCGUGGAAGGGCCAUCGCUCAACGGAUAAAAGCUACCCUGGGGAUAACAGGCUUAUCUCCCCCAAGAGUCCACAUCGACGGGGAGGUUUGGCACCUCGAUGUCGGCUCAUCACAUCCUGGGGCUGUAGUAGGUCCCAAGGGUUGGGCUGUUCGCCCAUUAAAGUGGUACGCGAGCUGGGUUCAGAACGUCGUGAGACAGUUCGGUCCCUAUCCGUCGCAGGCGUAGGAAAUUUGAGAAGACCUGUCCUUAGUACGAGAGGACCGGGAUGGACGUACCUCUGGUGUACCAGUUGUUCUGCCAAGGGCAUGGCUGGGUAGCUAUGUACGGAAUGGAUAAGCGCUGAAAGCAUCUAAGCGCGAAGCCAACUUCAAGAUAAGAUUUCCCACCGCAAGGGUAAGACCCCAGAAAGACUAUCUGGUUGAUAGGUCGAAGGUGUAAGUGCAGCAAUGUAUUUAGCUUAUCGAUACUAAUAGGUCGAGGACUUGACCAAU